rnacentral:rRNA from 1 species
CCCAGACUCCUACGGGAGGCAGCAGUGGGGAAUAUUGGGCAAUGGGCGCAAGCCUGACCCAGCAACGCCGCGUGAAGGAAGAAGGCCCUCGGGUUGUAAACUUCUUUUGUCAGGGACGAAGCAAGUGACGGUACCUGACGAAUAAGCCACGGCUAACUACGUGCCAGCAGCCGCGGUAAUACGGAGGAUCCGAGCGUUAUCCGGAUUUAUUGGGUUUAAAGGGUGCGUAGGCGGAAUGCCAAGUCAGCGGUAAAAUCGCGGGGCUCAACCUCGCUCCGCCGUUGAAACUGGCGUUCUUGAGUGGGCGAGAAGUAUGCGGAAUGCGUGGUGUAGCGGUGAAAUGCAUAGAUAUCACGCAGAACUCCGAUUGCGAAGGCAGCAUACCGGCGCUCAACUGACGCUGAAGCACGAAGGCGUGGGUAUCGAACAGGAUUAGAUACCCGUGUAG